rnacentral:lncRNA from 11 species
GUGAUAUCCCAGUCUCUUUCCCAGCGAACUGCGCUUUAUCCCUGCUGCUUCCCUCUCCUAAUGGUGAGAGGCUAUUAAUCUAAAGAGGAAUGGCAGCCGUUUUUACUUUGCUUUGCUUGCUUGCACUGAUUUUGGGAGUGUUCCAAGGUUUACAAAAAAAGUAUUGGGUUUGUUGAACUGGUUUAAAAUUACAGAAUUAAAUGCCAUUGAUUUCAAGGAGGGAAAAUUCACUGAAGCUGGAGAUAAUGAGCAACUCAUGGACCAGGAUAUUCCUUAUGGCAUUUUCAAAAUAACUCGAGCAGAUAAGAGUGAUAUUCUACUCAUGGCUAAAGAGAACAGAUCGCUAUACAAUGCUGAAGGCCGACCCAACGUCUAGAGGUCCACAUGUUCUCUGAGGAAGAAGUUAAAUAAUUUAAAAGAAAUGGGCACACUACAGAAGAAAUUUUGCUGCCUGAGGCAGAAUAGUAAAUGAAACCCUGCCAGCACACACUGGGAAGAAACAUGUCUUAUUUGAGUUUCCAGUAUUUGUAGCUGUAGUCUUUUUUUUCCAAUCCUGGAUUAUUUGCAAUUCUUGACAACAGGAACAACUUUUUAUUCCCAUGUCGUGACUUUAAAAAAUGAAUAAAAUAAAUCAGAGGCAUGUUACAUAAUAAACUCCCAAAGGUCAUGGUGUGUAUAUAUGUGUUGUGGUUCAUGAUUAAUGUUUUGGACAGUUCUCUAAAGAUGUGCCUUAUGUAGUAUCCUGAAUUCUUUGCAUAAUGAACAAUUUUGUGGUAGUAGGUGAGAAAAAGCAAAAACAAUUAUUCC